UACGUAGGGCGCAAGCGUUUGUCCGGAAUUAUUGGGCGUAAAGAGCUCGUAGGCGGCCUGUUGCGUCCGCUGUGAAAUCCCGGGGCUCAACCCCGGGCCUGCAGUGGAUACGGGCUGGCUAGAGGCAGGCAGGGGAGAACGGAAUUCCUGGUGUAGCGGUGAAAUGCGCAGAUAUCAGGAGGAACACCGGUGGCGAAGGCGGUUCUCUGGGCCUUACCUGACACUGAGGAGCGAAAGCGUGGGGAGCGAACAGG
rnacentral:rRNA from 1 species